GGAGGAUUAGCUCAGCUGGGAGAGCAUCUGCCUUACAAGCGGGGGGUCGGCGGUUCGAGCCCGUCCUCCUCCACCA
rnacentral:tRNA from 1 species